rnacentral:rRNA from 2 species
GCAUAUCAAUAAGCGGAGGAAAAGAAACCAACAGGGAUUGCCUCAGUAACGGCGAGUGAAGCGGCAACAGCUCAAAUUUGAAAUCUGGCCCCCCGGCCCGAGUUGUAAUUUGCAGAGGAUGCUUCGGGCGCGGUGCCUUCCAAGUCCCCUGGAACGGGGCGCCGGAGAGGGUGAGAGCCCCGUACGGUUGGCGGCCAAGCCUGUGUGAAGCUCCUUCGACGAGUCGAGUAGUUUGGGAAUGCUGCUCUAAGCGGGAGGUAGACCCCUUCUAAAGCUAAAUAUAGGCCAGAGACCGAUAGCGCACAAGUAGAGUGAUCGAAAGAUGAAAAGCACUUUGAAAAGAGGGUUAAACAGCACGUGAAAUUGUUGAAAGGGAAGCGCUUGCGACCAGACGUGCGCCGGGGUGCUCAGCGGGCGUUCUCGCCCGUGCACUCGCCCCGGUGCAGGCCAGCGUCGGUUCGCGUGGGAGGAUAAAGGCGCCUGGAAUGUGGCUCCCCCGGGAGUGUUAUAGCCAGGCGUGCCAUGCUCCCCUGCGGACCGAGGUACGCGUUCUGCAAGGACGCUGGCGUAAUGGUCCCCAGCGACCCGU